GAGGAUAGAGCUCAGCGCUAGAGCACAUACUUAGCAUGCAUGCGGUCCUGGGUUCAAACCCCAGUACCUCCA
rnacentral:tRNA from 1 species